rnacentral:rRNA from 1 species
UACGUAGGGGGCAAGCGUUGUCCGGAAUCAUUGGGCGUAAAGCGCGUGUAGGCGGGUCGGUAAGUCCGCUCUGAAAGCCCGGGGCUCAACCCCGGGAGGCGGGUGGAUACUGUCGACCUCGAGUCCGGAAGAGGCGAGUGGAAUUCCUGGUGUAGCGGUGAAAUGCGCAGAUAUCAGGAGGAACACCGGUGGCGAAGGCGGGUCUCUGGGCCGCAACUGACGCUGAGGAGCGAAAGCAUGGGGAGCGAACAGG